ensembl:lncRNA
CAGGUGCAACCAGGUCACAGUCAGACAUUUUCCUCAAAUCUCACUCGAAAGCAUCAACACCCCAAAGAGAAGCCAUGAAGCCAGUGAUCGUGCUGUACGUUGCGCUGAUGAUGAUUGCACUGGUGUGCAAUGCUUAUGCUGCAUGUGAGAAUGGAUGGUGUACCAAGAAAUGUAGUAGUAAUGAAUAUGAAGACCGCAAUUCAUACUGUGGGGGUGGAAAUAUAUGCUGUGUUGAAAAAGGCAAUUGAAGAACAUCCGUGAAGGAAGACUGUGUGGAUCAAGCAACAUGCAUUAUUGUUUUGUUUUUUCUUCCAUUUAAGUUUAGUUAAAACAGUCAGACACUUACACAAGAGAUGUAUUCAUCAUGAAUUGCAUUUACGCCAGUUUGAAUAAAAUCAAAUAUCACAACUAA